rnacentral:lncRNA from 1 species
GAAAAUACAGUACUGUACUUGUAUGUAUUGGUUGCUUCACAAUACAACAGAGAAUAAACUGCCCAAAUACCCUUAAACAAAGAAAAAGUAUGUAAUUUAUGAAAGCAUAGAGCCUUUAUGAAAAUGAAAAUUAAUGAAUAUGCACUGUACAGUAAUUUACCUGAUAAGACAGAUCUCAGAAAAAUACUUUAUGAAGGCAUAAAGCUAUCUAUAAUGAACAGGUCUGCCCGCGGGGGAUUUUUCGCCCUGCCAGAGUGUGGCCGAGUUAUCCGGAGUGCCAGCUUAUCGAGAGCCGAGUUUGCGGGGCUUUACUGUAUUU